GAUGAACGCUAGCGGCGGGCCUAAUACAUGCAAGUUGAACGGGAUUGUUGGUAGCAAUAUUGACAUGAGAGUGGCGCACGGGUGCGUAACACGUAUGUAACCUACCUUUAACUGGGGCAUAGCUUCGAGAGAUCGAAAUUAAUACCCCAUAACAUUUAGAAAAGGCAUCUUUUCUUUAUCAAAGCUCAGGCGGUUAAGGAUGGACAUGCGGUGCAUUAGCUUGUUGGUGAGGUAACGGCUCACCAAGGCUACGAUGCAUAGGGGGUCUGAGAGGAUGAUCCCCCACACUGGUACUGAGACACGGACCAGACUCCUACGGGAGGCAGCAGUAGGGAAUAUUGGGCAAUGGACGAAAGUCUGACCCAGCCACGCCGCGUGAAGGAUGAAUGCCCUCUGGGUUGUAAACUUCUUUUGUAUGGGAAGAAAAUUCCGAACGUGUUCGGAGCUGACGGUACCAUAAGAAUAAGCAUCGGCUAACUCCGUGCCAGCAGCCG
rnacentral:rRNA from 1 species